rnacentral:rRNA from 1 species
UGGGAAACUGCCUGAUGGAGGGGGAUAACUUCUGGAAACGGUAGCUAAUACCGCAUAACGUCGCAAGACCAAAGAGGGGGACCUUCGGGCCUCUUGCCAUCGGAUGUGCCCAGAUGGGAUUAGCUAGUAGGUGGGGUAACGGCUCACCUAGGUGA